rnacentral:lncRNA from 1 species
GUUUCCGGCCGCCGCUGGUUCACCGCCGUUCGCCCCCAGUCGACGCUCGUGCUCUGUUUUCCGGCCACCUCUGCCAGCCUCCGUUCCCUCUUCCUUCCUUCCCAUUUUUCAGUUCGUUUCCUACCGAUUAGCUGCUGUAUAUAUGCGUAUAUAUGUGCGAUUGUGGGUGUAAUUGUGUGUGUGUGAAUCUGAGGUCGUGUGUGUGCGAGUGCAGAGUAUCGAUGCCGUGUGUCCAGUGUGUGUUUUGUGUGCGUAUCUGUGUGUGUUCCAGUGUGUACAGCGUGGGUGAGUCUGGGGGUCAAGUAUAUUAUUUACGGACGUUAAUUAGUGUGGCUGUGUGGAGUGUCUAGUGAUUUGAGUCAUGAACUUGAGCUUCCGAUAUGCUUUUAAUUUUUAUUUCGGUUGUUGGGAUUAUUUGUUGGAUUAGUUGGUAUUUGUAACUUGGAUUAUUGGGAUUGAUUACAGGUUGUUUUGGUUUUGUUGUGUCGAUAUAAUAUCGACUGGUAGUCCGAUAAAUAGAGGAGGUGCUGCCCGAUUUUUAAAUAAAAUUAGAUUUUAAAUUAUACGGGAACGUCUCCUGUAAUUAUCGAGCUAUCAACCGAGUUUAUAAAUAAUAUAUAUAUGUAUAUAUAUGUGACUUGGUGUAAUAUUUUAUGAAAAGUAUUAUAACCCUAUUUUCUCGUACUAUCAGUGGAUCGUACAUUUUGAAUUCAACCCGAACCUGAUUUGAAUUGUGUGAGCCUUAUUUGCUUAUUUGUACUACCUUUAUAUUUGAGUCGGGUUGUACUAUCGAAGGGGUUAGAGUCUAGCGAUGAUGUCUGACAUAGAGACUGUCUAAUUUAGGAUUGUUCGAUCCUGUAGGUUCUGUUUCGGGACACCAGUUUUCGAAAGGCUAGUCGACUCCCUUCAUAGCAUCUGAUUCCUAUACCUCAGCAAGGCAAGUACCACUGACCAUACUCUCGAUGGUUCAGAUUAUAUAUGAAUAAAGUAGAGCAAGAAUGCAUCUCAAAUGUCAAAUGUUUUAAGUACAUAUUCCCCGGUUACUAUGGAAUUCAAAUAUCUUUUUAAAUUGUUUUAGGGGAAUAGUAACUUGGAUAUCUAUCCCGGUUGUGAUUUAAAUUCUGAAAAUGUUUAGUGAUUAUCAUUGCUAAACCUGCGAUAUAAUUUUUUAGACAUGGUAUUGAUUCAUGAAUAUCAUGUAAUGGUUUUGAAAAUGGGAUGGAUACGAAUCAAACUGAAACUGGAAAUGGAUCAGAUAUUUCUAUUUGGAGCUGCGUAAGAGGUUCCGUUAUUUGAUAACGACCCAGCAUGGUGGCGUAAGAGGCUUGCGUGGUUUACACACCCAAAACCACCUGGUCCAGCGUCUAAAGACCUAGCUAGUCUUUAGGUUCCGGAACAUUAUUUCGUGAUGGCCGACUAGAGCCGUCCGGUGUUGAUAGACUGAUCAGCUGUCUUCACCUGUUAAGCGUCCAAUAUAUCUGAUAUUCGUUUUAGAUAAAAAACCUGUAUAGCAUGCUAGUGAUAAAAUUUUGAAACUAAAACUUAUGAUUAUCACAUUUUUCCGGCAUGCUAAUAAAUGUUGAUUUCCAGUUUCAUAUCAAAUGAUGAUUUACUGUUUUAUGUUCGAAGCAUGCAUGUUUUCUAUUCUCUUGCUCUUAUAAACUGUUUUAUGAUUUUAUCUUAUGUUUAUUCAUAUUGGUACUGCUGAGCGAUUCAUAGCUCACCCUUGCAAAAUAUUUACAUAACUGUUUCAGAUGCCUAGAACGAGACCGCCUAGACGACCAUUGACCAGCAGUGGACGGGGUUCCAUCCCUCCACCCAUGUUGGGCACGUUUGAGGUAGUGGAGUCAGAUAUUAUAAGUUA